rfam:Glarea lozoyensis 74030 unplaced genomic scaffold M7I_scaffold17, whole genome shotgun sequence.
GCCUUCAUGGCGCAGUGGUAACGCGUCGCACUUGUAUGAUUCCUACUGCAUGGGAAGAAUAGAGAUGCGAAGAUCCCUAGUUCAAUUCUGGGUGAAGGCA